rnacentral:rRNA from 1 species
UACGUAGGGUGCAAGCGUUGUUCGGAUUUACUGGGCGUAAAGGGCGCGUAGGCGGCACCGCAAGUCGACUGUGAAAUCUCCGGGCUUAACUCGGAACGGUCAAGUGAUACUGUCGGACUAGAGUACAGAAGGGGCAACUGGAAUUCUCGGUGUAGCGGUGAAAUGCGUAGAUAUCGAGAGGAACACCUGCGGCGAAGGCGGGUUGCUGGGCUGAUACUGACGCUGAGGCGCGAAAGCCAGGGGGAGCGAACGGGG